rnacentral:lncRNA from 1 species
GUGCUUUAAAAUGACUUCUAUUACUAGUUAGUAUUUAAUUCAUUUCUUUAAAUAGAAAUAAGAUAGUAGUUCAUUGACUAUGAAUAUGAUUGUUUCUUGUUAAAUUUUUAUAGGAUGAAAACAAUCAUGGACUUGGACGUGAAGAUGAAGAAUGAUGGGAUACAAUGACAUGAAGACUUUGAUAUUAUUUUGGAGCUUUUCUUUUUAAUAU